GGGAUUAUAGCUUAAUGGUUAAAGCUGAUUGCUCAUAACUAUCCAAUCUUGGUUCAAUUCCAAGUAAUCCUA
rnacentral:tRNA from 1 species